rnacentral:rRNA from 1 species
GACGAACGCUGGCGGCGUGCUUAACACAUGCAAGUCGAACGAUGAACCCGGAGCUUGCUCCGGUGGAUUAGUGGCGAACGGGUGAGUAACACGUGAGUAACCUGCCCUUGACUCUGGGAUAACUGCGGGAAACUGUAGCUAAUACCGGAUACGACCCUCGGCGGCAUCGCCAGGGGGUGGAAAGAAUUUCGGUCAAGGAUGGACUCGCGGCCUAUCAGCUAGUUGGUGAGGUAACGGCUCACCAAGGCGACGACGGGUAGCCGGCCGGAGAGGGUGGCCGGCCACACUGGGACUGAGACACGGCCCAGACGCCUACGGGAGGCAGCAGUGGGGAAUAUUGCACAAUGGGCGAAAGCCUGAUGCAGCGACGCCGCGUGAGGGAUGAAGGUCUUCGGAUUGUAAACCUCUUUCAGUAGGGACGAAGCGAAAGUGACGGUACCUAAAGAAGAAGCACCGGCUAACUACGUGCCAGCAGCCGCGGUAA